AACGAACGCUGGCGGCAGGCUUAACACAUGCAAGUCGAACGCAUCCUUCGGGGUGAGUGGCAGACGGGUGAGUAACGCGUGGGAACGUGCCCUUCAGUUCGGGAUAACCCAGGGAAACUUGGGCUAAUACCGGAUACGUGCGAGAGCAGAAAGAUUUAUCGCUGAAGGAUCGGCCCGCGUCUGAUUAGCUAGUUGGUGGGGUAAUGGCCCACCAAGGCGACGAUCAGUAGCUGGUCUGAGAGGAUGAUCAGCCACAUUGGGACUGGGACACGGCCCAAGCGCCUACGGGAGGCAGCAGUGGGGAAUAUUGGACAAUGGGCGCAAGCCUGUUCCAGCCAUGCCGCGUGAGUGAUGAAGGCCUUAGGGUUGUAAAGCUCUUUCGUCCGGGACGAUAAUGACGGUACCGGAAGAAGAAGCCCCGGCUAACUUCGUGCCAGCCGCCGCCGUAA
rnacentral:rRNA from 1 species